GCGAUUCUCCUGCCUCAGCCUCCCCAGUAGCUGGGACUACAGGCACCUACCACCACACUCAGGCACGUCCCCCAGAUACUCACAUGGCUCUUGACAGAGAGGAUCUGGGACCGCAGCUUCUGGAUGCGUACAUUGAGGUCCGCGAUCUCACUGCGGCUGCUCUGGAGGCUGCUCCCAUACUCGGCCGAGCGGGCGACCUGCUCCUCCAGCUGGAGACUCUCAGGACAGAGAGCUGCAGGCAACCUCAGCCAUCACCAGUCCAGCCCUUCCUGCCACCCGGAGAGCUGUCCAGGCUGCUUCUCCUGCCCUGCAUGGUCAGCCCCACCUGGCUCCGAGAGUAUGCCUCAGCCUCCUCCA